rnacentral:rRNA from 1 species
UACAGAGGUCUCGAGCGUUGUUCGGAUUCAUUGGGCGUAAAGAGCUCGUAGGCGGCUUGUCGCGUCGUUCGUGAAAACCCGAGGCUCAACUUCGGGCUUGCGGUCGAUACGGGCAGGCUGGAGUUCGGUAGGGGAGACUGGAAUUUCUGGUGUAGCGGUGAAAUGCGCAGAUAUCAGGAGGAACACCGGUGGCGAAGGCGGGUCUCUGGGCCGAUACUGACGCUGAGGAGCGAAAGCGUGGGGAGCGAACAGG